CUGAGCUAUUUUUCCUUUUGUGUGUGCUUGUUUUACUUAGCAUAAUAUUUUUAAGGACCACCCAUAUUGUAGCAUGCAUUAGUACUUCACAUGUUUUUAUGGCUGAAU